CAAAAACACAGCUAUGAAAGCUUAAUAUUUGAUGCAUCUGAUACAACAAUUCACUAUCAACUUCACUUGGUGUCUUACUGUCUUCACCUCUGCUUAGAAGUGUAAGGCACGAGUUAGCAUAACCUAGAAGUAGUGUCUAUCAUACAUCUCUUUACAAACAAGUAAUAUAUGUGGAUAAAAAGAAAAGAAAAGCAGGGGAACUCUCCAUGUGAGAAAAUAUCAACAUG
rnacentral:misc_RNA from 1 species